UGGGGAAUAUUGGACAAUGGGCGAAAGCCUGAUCCAGCCAUGCCGCGUGUGUGAAGAAGGUCGUCGGAUUGUAAAGCACUUUAAGUUGGGAGGAAGGGCAGUAAGCGAAUACCUUGCUGUUUUGACGUUACCGACAGAAUAAGCACCGGCUAACUCUGUGCCAGCAGCCGCGGUAAUACAGAGGGUGCAAGCGUUAAUCGGAAUUACUGGGCGUAAAGCGCGCGUAGGUGGUUCGUUAAGUUGAAUGUGAAAGCCCCGGGCUCAACCUGGGAACUGCAUCCAAAACUGGCGAGCUAGAGUAGGGCAGAGGGUGGUGGAAUUUCCCGUGUAGCGGUGAAAUGCGUAGAUAUAGGAAGGAACACCAGUGGCGAAGGCGACCACCUGGGAUCAUACUGACACUGAGGUGCGAAAGCGUGGGGAGCAAACAGG
rnacentral:rRNA from 1 species